rnacentral:lncRNA from 1 species
GGGUGGUAGUUGUAGCGCUUGGCUAUAAAUAGAUCCCCUUGGAGGUCGACCUGAAUCAAGUUUCUGAGUAGCAAUGGAUUGCCUUCGGUUGCUGUUGUUUGAGUGUAGAGAGCCUUCAAAGAGUAAACCGGUGCUAGAAGAUUCCUCGUAGAUUGAGACAACCUUCCCUCCACAGACUCUAGCGCUCGUAGGGAUAGCCGCGAUGCUAGAAGAAUCCUCGUAGGAGGUUUCAUCGCGCGCCUCAUCUUG